rnacentral:rRNA from 1 species
CCUACGGGAGGCAGCAGUGGGGAAUAUUGGGCAAUGGGCGCAAGCCUGACCCAGCAACGCCGCGUGAAGGAAGAAGGCUCUCGGGUUGUAAACUUCUUUUGUCAGGGACGAAGAAAGUGACGGUACCUGACGAAUAAGCCACGGCUAACUACGUGCCAGCAGCCGCGGUAAUACGUAGGUGGCAAGCGUUAUCCGGAUUUACUGGGUGUAAAGGGCGUGUAGGCGGGACUGCAAGUCAGAUGUGAAAUUCCAGGGCUCAACCCUGGGCCUGCAUUUGAAACUGUAGUUCUUGAGUGCUGGAGAGGCAGGCGGAAUUCCGUGUGUAGCGGUGAAAUGCGUAGAUAUACGGAGGAACACCAGUGGCGAAGGCGGCCUGCUGGACAGUAACUGACGCUGAGGCGCGAAAGCGUGGGGAGCAAACAGGAUUAGAUACCCGAGUAGUC